UCUUAACUUGUGUGAGCGAAGAAUGCCACGGAAAGAGACUUCUUAAAGAAAUAAAACCGAGAAAACUGGAGAUGAAAAGGAGAGAAAGGAUUGAGUGACAUAGAGCAGAGAAACCUCUCUGUGAAAUUAGACCUGAAGUAUUUGCCCAGGUAAACAAGAAACAAGUUCAAGAUUUCUGAAGUGGAAAACCUGGCAAAUGCUUCUGUAUUGAGUUUCUAGUGACUUGGAGAAAGGAGAGGAGAUGAAAUUUGAGUUGUCUUAAAGAAUGAGCAAGCAUUUGUCUGUGAGUAGACUGUGAACCUGUCAGUUCUCUGCCUGCACUGGGAAUGAUUCCAGCCCUUCUCUGCAAAUUGUUUCUUUCAAGACUGAGUUGAAGAUCAAUCUUUUAAUGACAGCGCUACAUAUGAAAUUGUAUGAGAGCUCACUAAAGUUGCACUAGAAUGAGAAUAACAAUUGCUUUAAAUGUGUUUAUUAAGCAAGAAAGAAUUAGGGAUUGGAAUGAAAACUGACCUUUUCCAGUCCUGUGGCCACUGCUGAGUUUUCCAAAUUUGCUGGCAUAUUGAGUGCAGCACUUUCACAGCAUCGUCUUUUAGGAUUUGAAAUUGCUCAACUGGAAUUCCAUCACCUCCACUCGCUUUGUUCAUAGUGAUGCUUCCUAAGGCCCACUUGACUUCACAUUCCAGGAUGUCUGGCUCUAGUUCAAGGGACCCUCAAAAGUCUUCUCCAGCACCACAGUUUGAAAGCAUCAAUUCUUCAGUGCUCAGCCUUCUUUAUGGCCCAACUCUCAUAUCCAUACAUGAUUACUGGAAAAGCCAGAUGGACCUUUGACGAGACAGACCUUUGUCAACAAAGGACUCUCCAGCACAUAUCCAAAAUGGAAGGGAAUACACUGCACCCCUCACACUUCAUUGGUGCUCCCUCAAGACUGCCUCACCAGCUGAAAGCACACAAUGGAACAGUGUGCCUUUCAGCAAAUAGAGUGAGCAAUGGAAAAUGCAAAGCAUCAACCCUGAAUACAAGCUGUGGCAGGCUGGACGCGAUUCCAAAUGAAGAGAAACUGCUUAUUUUCACUGAAACGGACUGAAGUCCUCUGGGAAGGAUUAUUUGGCUCCCAUUCUGAGUGCUGGUGUUGAUAAAACUGCUGCACCCAGGCUCAGCACGCCCUCUGUUGGAUUUAGCUGACAUUUAGUAACAAGAGGAACAGGAGAGCAUCCUGUCUGAUGCAAAUACUUCUUGGACACAGGCGAGCAGCGAAAGGGCUCUUUCUGUGAAAUUCUCAAAGAGCCAUCAAAUGAGUCAGAGCAUAUUCACUAGACUAUCCCUGGGAUAUAAUUUGAUUCAUCCAAAAAUAUGGACAUUCUUUUUUGAAGACCAGAAAUCCCUUCCUGAUGGGAGAGUCAGAAAUGGCAUGGACUUGAUUCUUUUUAUGCAUGCAACCACAAAAACAAAUCAACCCCCAAAACUUAUCUUCAGGACCCCCCAGUGUAAUCUGUAUAUGUCCACUGAGAGACAACUGGUUAAAUAAGUAUAGUACACCCUUCCCAGGUGACUCAGUGGUAAAGAAUCCACCUGCCAAUGAGUUCGAUUCCUGGGUCGGGAAGAUCCCCUGGAAAAGGAAAUGGCAACCCACUCCAAUAUUCUGGCCUAGAAAAUCCCAUGGACAGAGGAGCCUGGUGGACUACAGUACAUGGGGUCACAAGGAAUUGGACACGAUUUACCGACUAACCACACACAUGCACAUUGGACUCUUUGUGACCCCGUGAAUCACAGCUCGCCAGGCCUCCCUGUCCAUCACCAACUCCCGGAGCUUAUCCAAACUCAUGUCCAUCGAGUCAGUGAUGCCAUCCAGCCAUCUCAUCCUCCGUUGUCCCCUUCUCCUUCUGCCCCCAAUCCCUCCCAGCAUCAGGGUCUUUUCCAAUGAGUCAACUCUUCACAUGAGGUGGCCAAAGUAUUGGAGUUUCAGCUUCAGCAUCAGUCCUUCCAGUGAACACCCAGGACUGAUCUCCUUUAGGAUGAACUGGUUGGAUCUCCUUGCAGUCCAAGGGACUCUCAAGAGUCUUCUCCAACACCGCAGUUCGGAAGCAUCAAUUCUUCAGCGCUCAGCCUUCUUCACAGUCCAACUCUCACAUCCAUACAAGACCACUGGAAAAACCAUAGCCUUGACUAGACGGACCUUUACAUUAGUAAGUUACAAAAACCAAAGUGCUGAUAUAUAUAUAUAUCAGUUUUUGUAGGUGUGCAAAGACUUCCUAGAGAAGAUUCCACAAGAAAAUAAUAAUUGUUGUCCCCUGAACCAGAAAUUAAGUUUGCUUCAGAUAGGGAUAGAAAGAAAACUUCUUUUCACUAUAUUUCUUUGUGCACUAUUUGCAAUUUGCAUCUUAUGUGUCACCUAUGAAAGCUAAUCAAUUUUCUAAAAGAAAGAACCUUAUGAAGGUCCCGUUAGUUUCCUUACUGUCACUCUUCUUUCUCUCCAGAAGUCUUGUCAAUCCUCAGUGGAAGGAACUCAAACUGUUAUUAACGUAUUUUUCUUAUCAAAUUCUAAAAUAAAAAGGUACUCUGUCAGUUCUAGUAUAUAAAUACAUGUGAUUUUAUAUACCAGUUCAUUCUACUUGAAUCUCAGACAAGAAAGCCACUUGUUUCUGUGGAAACAGCAAUUGAAGUGUCAGGGGAAAUAUUUUGUUCAAUAGCUGUUGGGACUAUUCCAGAUGAUUCCAGGCUAUCCCAGACAGUGAGUUCCUCAGCUUCUUUCUGGGUUGGUGGCUUCUCUGACUGGAUUAAUAGGGCCUUGCAAUUUUUUACGCUUCCUAAUGAUAAUGCAUGCCAGAUGAGA